rnacentral:rRNA from 1 species
CUUGGUCAUUUAGAGGAAGUAAAAGUCGUAACAAGGUCUCCGUUGGUGAACCAGCGGAGGGAUCAUUACAGAGUUGCAAAACUCCCAACCCUUUGUGAACGAACCUACCAGUUGCCUCGGCGGCGAGCCUUUCAGGCGGACCGCCGAAGGAAUACAAACUCUUUGCAUUAUAGUAUCUCUGAUUACUUAUUCAAUAAGUUAAAACUUUCAACAACGGAUCUCUUGGUUCUGGCAUCGAUGAAGAACGCAGCGAAAUGCGAUAAGUAAUGUGAAUUGCAGAAUUCAGUGAAUCAUCGAAUCUUUGAACGCACAUUGCGCCCGUUAGUAUUCUGGCGGGCAUGCCUGUUCGAGCGUCAUUUCAACCAUCAAGCCCUAGGCUUGUGUUGGAGCCCUGCGGCUGCCGCAGCCUCCUAAAAACAGUGGCGGGCUCGCUAUUACACCGAGUGCAGUAGUUUACUCUUCGCUCAGGGCGUGUGGCGGGUGCUGGCCGUGAAACCCCCUACUUCUUGAGGUUGACCUCGGAUCAGGUAGGAAUACCCGCUGAACUUAAGCAUAUCAAUAAGCGGAGGA